rnacentral:rRNA from 1 species
GAUGAACGCUGGCGGCGUGCCUAACACAUGCAAGUCGAGCGGACAGACGCGGAGCUUUCUCCUCUGACGUUAGCGGCGGCCGGGUGGGUAACCCGUGGAUAACCUACCUCUACGACUGGGAUAACUUCGGAAAACGGGGGCAAGAAUGGGAUAAUAUAUUGAACCGCAUGGUUCAGUAGUGGAAGACGGUUUUGCUGUGUGUUACAGAUGGGUCCGCGCCCGCUUAGUUAGUUGGUAAGGUAAGUGCUUACCAAGGCCACGAUGCGUAGCCGGCCUGCGCGGGUGGUCGGCCACCCUCGAACUGAGACACGGUCCAGACUCCUACGGGAGGCAGCAGUAGGUAAUCUUCCGCGAUGGGCGAAAGCUUGACGGAUCCACCCCGCUUGAGUGAUGAAGGUCUGCGGAUCGUAAAACUCUGUUAUUAGGGAAUAACAAAUGUGUAAGUAACUAUGCACGUCUUGACGGUACCUGAUCAGAAAGCCACGGCUAACUACGUG